GACGAACGCUGGCGGGGUGCCUAAUACAUGCAAGUAGGACGCAGUUGCGAACGGGUGAGAAACGCGCAGGUAACUACCUAUUCGAGGGGGAUAACUAUGGGAAACGAUAGCGAAUACCGCCUACUAGUAGAGGGAACUGCGUUGUAUUAGUUAGUAGGGAGGGUAAUGGGCUACCUAGGCAACGAUACAGAGCCGACUUGAGAGGGUGACCGGCCACACGGGGACUGAGAAACGGGCCAGACUCCUAAGGGAGGCCGCAGUAGGGAAUCUUCGGAAAUGGGGGGAACCCUGACUGAGCAACGCCGCGGGAGUGAAUAAGGGUUUCGGAGCGUAAAGCUCUGUUGUGAAGGAAGCGGUACCUAACCAGAAAGGGACGGCUAACUACGUGCCAGCAGCCGCGGUAAUAC
rnacentral:rRNA from 1 species